CCAAUAGCGUAUAUUAAGGUUGCUGCGGUUAAAAAGCUCGUAGUUGAAUUUCGGGAUUGACACAUCGGUCGUGCCUUAAGGGGUAUGAACUGGCGUAGCCAAUUCCUCACCUUCUGGUGAAUUGUGAUGCCUCUUUAACUGGGUGUUUCAAUGAACUAGGACUUUUACUUUGAAAAAAUUAGAGUGUUUAAAGCAGGCAUUAUUUGCUUGAAUACAUUAGCAUGGAAUAAUAAAAUAGGACGGAUGAUUCUAUUUUGUUGGUUUCUAGGAUCACUGUAAUGAUUAAUAGGGAUAGUUGGGGGCAUUAGUAUUCAAUUGUCAGAGGUGAAAUUCUUGGAUUAAUUGAAGACUAACUACUGCGAAAGCAUUUGCCAAGGAUGUUUUCAUUAAUCAAGAACGAAAGUUAGGGGAUCGAAGACGAUUAGGUACGUCGUAGUCUUAACCAUAAACUAUGCCGACUAGGAAUCAGACAACGUUAAAUUUUUAAUGACUUGUUUGGCACCUUACG
rnacentral:rRNA from 1 species